UACGUAAGUGGCGAGCGUUUAUCCGGAAUUACUGGGCGUAAAGCGUGCGUAGGCGGUUUAGUGUGUGGGAAUUGAAAGCCCGGGGCUCAACUCCGGAUCCGGUUCCCAAACUGCUAGACUCGAGCGUAUCAGAGGACAGUGGAAUUCCCGGUGUAGCGGUAAUAUGCGUAGAUAUCGGGAGGAACACCAAUGGCGAAGGCAGCUCGCUGGGACGGUACUGACGCUGAGGCGCGAAAGCGUGGGGAGCAAACAGGG
rnacentral:rRNA from 1 species